rnacentral:rRNA from 1 species
UGAGAGAACUGUGUAAAAGGAACUCGGCAAAAUGGCUCCGUAACUUAGGAAGAAGGAGUGACUUUUAAUUCAAUAUUUGCAAUAUGCAAUAAAUGUUCUAAAAGUUGUCACAAAAUUGGAAGAAGCAACUGUUUAACAAAAACACAGGUCUCUGCUAAUUCGCAAGAAGAUGUAUAGGGGCUGACGCGUGCCCGGUGCUGCAAGGUUAAGGGGAGGCGUCUUGGCGCUGAACUCAAGCCCCAGUAAACGGCGGCCGUAACUCUGACGGUCCAAAGGUAGCGAAAUUCUUUGCCACCUAAUUAGUGGCCUGCAUGAAUCGCGUAAUGACUUCUUUACUGUCUCUUACACAGACUCAGUGAAAUUGAAAUAUCCGUGAAGAUGCGGAUUACUCACAGCUAGACGGAAAGACCCUGUACACCUUUACUGCAUUUAUUGAUUGCAAAAAUGUAUUUGUUGUGUAGAAUAGGUGGGAGCACGAUACCUUUUUGGUACUGUGCGCCAGUGAAAUACCACCCUGCAUUUAUGUUGAUGCUAACUUAUUUCUAUAAGAACAGUUUAUAAUUGGUAGUUUGACUGGGGCGGUCGCCUUCUAAAAGGUAACGAAGGCGUGCAUAAGGUAAACUCAAAUAAAUAAAUCUUUUAUUGAAGAGUGCAAUAGCAAAAGUUUGCUUGACUGUAAGAAUAACGAUUCGAACAGGGGCGUAAGCCGGCUAUAGUGAUCCGGUGAUACUGAAUGGAAAGGUCAUCGCUCAACGGAUAAAAGGUACGUCAGGGAUAACAGGCUAAUGACUCCUUAGAGUUCCUAUCGACGGAGUUGUUUGGCACCUCGAUGUCGGCUAGUCACAUCCUGGAGCUGAAGCAGGUUCCAAGGGUUAGGUUGUUCGCCUAUUAAAGUGGCACUUGAGCUGGGUUCAGAACGCCGUGAGGCAGUUUGGUCCCUAUCUACUGUGAGCGUUAGAAAAUUGAAGAAAUUAAACCCUAGUACGAGAGGACCGGGAAACGUAAACCUCUGGUGUAGCGAUUGUUUUUAAAAAAGCAUCGUCGCGUAGCUACGUUUAUACUAGAUAAUCGCUGAAAGCAUCUAAGUGAGAAACUAUUUCUAAGAUUAAUUUUCUUUUUAGGGCUGUGGCAUAACACCACGUUGAUAGGUGCGGAGUUUAACGAUUGUAAGAUUCUAGCUACUGCAUACUAAAAGCCUGAAAUAAUCUUUUA